rnacentral:rRNA from 1 species
AGAACGAACGCUGGCGGCAUGCCUAACACAUGCAAGUCGAACGAAGGCUUCGGCCUUAGUGGCGCACGGGUGAGUAACACGUGGGAACCUGCCUCUUUGUUCGGAAUAACAUCGGGAAACUGGUGCUAAUACCGGAUACGCCCUACGGGGGAAAGAUUUAUCGCAGAGAGAGGGGCCCGCGUCCGAUUAGGUAGUUGGUGGGGUAACGGCCUACCAAGCCGACGAUCGGUAGCUGGUCUGAGAGGAUGAUCAGCCACACUGGGACUGAGACACGGCCCAGACUCCUACGGGAGGCAGCAGUGGGGAAUAUUGGACAAUGGGCGCAAGCCUGAUCCAGCAAUGCCGCGUGAAUGAUGAAGGCCUUAGGGUUGUAAAGUUCUUUCGUCGGGGACGAUGAUGACGGUACCGAAGAAGAAGCCCCGGCUAACUUCGUGCCAGCAGCCGC